CGGUUACGUGAUUUUGCCUUCGUAUCCCGUAUCGAUCCGGGAAACGGGUACGAUACGCUCGGAUACGUGUAUCCGGAUUUGGAUACGUCCGUAUCCUAUUUAGAUACGUAAGAACGUAAAUAAAUCAGAUACGUGGGAUAAUACUGACUUUUUACCCUGAAAAAAAAAAAAAAACGGAAUCAGCUCCGGCCGUCACCAGCGACGCUGUCGUCCAGAAUGGAUUGGAACUCGGCUCUCCAUUUCAGAACGGUCCUGCUUCUCGAGGCGGAUAUCGGGGCGGGAGAGUUGGGGAUCCGGUCCGGGUAGGCUUGGGCUUGGGUGAGAUGACGCUGUGGAGAGAGACUUAAGGAUGUAGCGGAGGGCGGACGCGAGGAGGUCGUCUGAUCAGUCAGCGUCGGAGAUGAGAGGUUUGAUCUGAGUAUUAAGACAAGGAAGAGGAGGAGAAAGGAGCAGGAGAGGACAAGACAAUGAGCUUGAGAUUGAUGCCGAAUUGAGGCUUGGACCAAGGUUAUAGUGAAUGUGUGGGACGGGGGAUCAAGGUUAUAGUGAAUGUGGGACUUCUUGAAGAGAGAGAGGAGACAGAAACUUGACGGUUUCUGUUUUUCUAGGAGGUAAUGGAACCUCUACAGUGAGGCAUGAUCACAUCAUUCACGUGUCAGAAGGCACAUGCUAAGAACAUGGAGCUCAAAUUUGUUGGAUUUAAUUAUUAUUAUUGACUUAUUUA
rnacentral:lncRNA from 1 species